UACGUAGGGUGCAAGCGUUGUCCGGAAUUAUUGGGCGUAAAGGGCUCGUAGGCGGUCCAUCGCGUCGGGAGUGAAAAGCUGGGGCUCAACCCCAGUCCUGCUUCCGAUACGGGUGGACUAGAGGUAUGCAGGGGAGAACGGAAUUCCUGGUGUAGCGGUGAAAUGCGCAGAUAUCUGGAGGAACACCGGUGGCGAAGGCGGCAUCCUGGACCGACAUUGACGCUGAGGCGCGAAAGCUAGGGGAGCAAACAGG
rnacentral:rRNA from 1 species